UACGGAGGGUGCGAGCGUUGUUCGGAAUUACUGGGCGUAAAGCGCGUGUAGGCGGUUGGGCAAGUCAGAUGUGAAAGCCUUCCGCUCAACGGAAGAAGUGCAUUUGAGACUACCCGGCUGGAGUUCGGGAGAGGAGAGUGGAAUUCCUGGUGUAGAGGUGAAAUUCGUAGAUAUCAGGAGGAACACCGGUGGCGAAGGCGGCUCUCUGGCCCGAUACUGACGCUGAGACGCGAAAGCGUGGGGAG
rnacentral:rRNA from 1 species